UACGGGGGGAGCAAGCGUUGUUCGGAUUUACUGGGCGUAAAGGGCGCGUAGGCGGUCAGCACAAGUCAGUUGUGAAAUCUCCGGGCUUAACCCGGAAAGGUCAACUGAUACUGUGCGACUAGAGUGCGGAAGGGGCAACUGGAAUUCUCGGUGUAGCGGUGAAAUGCGUAGAUAUCGAGAGGAACACCUGCGGCGAAGGCGGGUUGCUGGGCCGACACUGACGCUGAGGCGCGAAAGCUAGGGGAGCAAACGGG
rnacentral:rRNA from 1 species